rnacentral:rRNA from 1 species
AGGAUAAACGCUGGCGGCGUGCCUAACACAUGCAAGUCGAACGUCUCUUCUUUCGGGAAGAGGAGUGGCGGACGGGUGAGGAACACGUGGGAACCUGCCCUUUAGUGAGGAAUACCGGCGAGAAAUCGCCGACAAGACCGCAUAGCCCUCUUUGAUGAGAGUCAAAGAAGGAAAGCUUCGCAAGAGGCGCUAGAGGAGGGGCCUGCGUCCGAUUAGCUAGUUGGUGGGGUAAGAGCCUACCAAGGCGUCGAUCGGUAGCUGGUCUGAGAGGACGAUCAGCCACACUGGGAUUGAGAACGGCCCAGACUCCUACGGGGGCAGCAGUGAGGAAUUUUCGUCAAUGGGGGCAACCCUGAACGAGCAACGCCGCGUGCAGGAAGAAGGUUUUCGGAUCGUAAACUGCUUUUCUCGGGAAGAGAACGGACGGUACCCGAGGAAUCAGCCCGGCUAACUACGUGCCAGCAGCCGC